AAUUACAAACUAUUUCCAAACCCUAAAGUCGACGUUCCAAUUACUCCUGCUGCUAAGAAUUCGAUCAACUGGGUUAACGAUUCGUGUGCGGGAUUAAUCUACACGUUCUUCAAUCAAGUCACACUAUCAAGAAGAUGAUGAAAUGGAAGAUAUAUAUGAUGAUAAUAUGGAUCAUGAGAUUCAGGUCAGAGGAACUGAAGCAGCAAGGUGUGGUGUUGGUUGCAAUAGAGGGAAGCAUUUAUCUUUCAUGAUAUCCAAAGUCACUAAGAGGCAUUAGAUAAUGGGAAUUUACCGAGAAGGACAAGUGAUGCAUCAUCUUCAAGUUUUAAAUGUAAUGCACUAAAAUGCAUUUCUUGAAGGAGGAUUUCAACGUUCGGCCAGAUAAACAAGUAGGAGUGGCAGGUAUUCAUCGAGGCUAGAACUUUGUCUCUAUAGCAACAAAGUUUCAGGUAUUUCUAGCAUUCAAAGGACAUAGUUUAGAUUGAUUACAUACCAGUCAGUCAAUCAAUCAUUCUUCUCCCUUCAUUGUAUACCCAAGAAUAAACAUUGUGGAUGGAGCUAUUACAAGAGACAUUUCAUGGUCAGUUAGGUAGGUUGAAUUGACCCAUAAGUAAUCUAUUUUGUAUAUUUUUAUUAUUUUCUUUGCAAGUUCCUAAUGAGCUUGAUUAAAAAAACA